rnacentral:rRNA from 1 species
GUGCUAACGUCCGUCGUGAAGAGGGAAACAACCCAGACCGCCAGCUAAGGUCCCAAAGUCAUGGUUAAGUGGGAAACGAUGUGGGAAGGCACAGACAGCCAGGAUGUUGGCUUAGAAGCAGCCAUCAUUUAAAGAAAGCGUAAUAGCUCACUGGUCGAGUCGGCCUGCGCGGAAGAUGUAACGGGGCUAAACCAUGCACCGAAGCUGCGGCAGCGACGCUUAUGCGUUGUUGGGUAGGGGAGCGUUCUGUAAGCCGUUGAAGGUGUCCUGUGAGGGGUGCUGGAGGUAUCAGAAGUGCGAAUGCUGACAUAAGUAACGAUAAAGCGGGUGAAAAGCCCGCUCGCCGGAAGACCAAGGGUUCCUGUCCAACGUUAAUCGGGGCAGGGUGAGUCGACCCCUAAGGCGAGGCCGAAAGGCGUAGUCGAUGGGAAACAGGUUAAUAUUCCUGUACUUGGUGUUACUGCGAAGGGGGGACGGAGAAGGCUAUGUUAGCCGGGCGACGGUUGUCCCGGUUUAAGCAUGUAGGCGGAACGAUUAGGUAAAUCCGGUCGUUUAUUAACGCUGAGGUGUGAUGACGAGGCACUACGGUGCUGAAGUAACAAAUGCCCUGCUUCCAGGAAAAGCCUCUAAGCAUCAGGUAACACGAAAUCGUACCCCAAACCGACACAGGUGGUCAGGUAGAGAAUACCAAGGCGCUUGAGAGAACUCGGGUGAAGGAACUAGGCAAAAUGGUGCCGUAACUUCGGGAGAAGGCACGCUGAUAUGUAGGUGAAGUCCCUGCGGAUGGAGCUGAAAUCAGUCGAAGAUACCAGCUGGCUGCAACUGUUUAUUAAAAACACAGCACUGUGCAAACACGAAAGUGGACGUAUACGGUGUGACGCCUGCCCGGUGCCGGAAGGUUAAUUGAUGGGGUUAGCGGCAACGCGAAGCUCUUGAUCGAAGCCCCGGUAAACGGCGGCCGUAACUAUAACGGUCCUAAGGUAGCGAAAUUCCUUGUCGGGUAAGUUCCGACCUGCACGAAUGGCGUAAUGAUGGCCAGGCUGUCUCCACCCGAGACUCAGUGAAAUUGAACUCGCUGUGAAGAUGCAGUGUACCCGCGGCAAGACGGAAAGACCCCGUGAACCUUUACUAUAGCUUGACACUGAACACUGGUCCUUGAUGUGUAGGAUAGGUGGGAGGCUUUGAAGCGUGGACGCCAGUCUGCGUGGAGCCAACCUUGAAAUACCACCCUUUAAUGGCUGGUGUUCUAACGUAGACCCGUAAUCCGGGUUGCGGACAGUGUCUGGUGGGUAGUUUGACUGGGGCGGUCUCCUCCCAAAGAGUAACGGAGGAGCACGAAGGUUAGCUAAUCCUGGUCGGACAUCAGGAGGUUAGUGCAAUGGCAUAAGCUAGCUUGACUGCGAGAGUGACGGCUCGAGCAGGUGCGAAAGCAGGUCAUAGUGAUCCGGUGGUUCUGAAUGGAAGGGCCAUCGCUCAACGGAUAAAAGGUACUCCGGGGAUAACAGGCUGAUACCGCCCAAGAGUUCAUAUCGACGGCGGUGUUUGGCACCUCGAUGUCGGCUCAUCACAUCCUGGGGCUGAAGUAGGUCCCAAGGGUAUGGCUGUUCGCCAUUUAAAGUGGUACGCGAGCUGGGUUUAGAACGUCGUGAGACAGUUCGGUCCCUAUCUGCCGUGGGCGCUGGAGAAUUGAGGGGGGCUGCUCCUAGUACGAGAGGACCGGAGUGGACGCAUCACUGGUGUUCGGGUUGUCAUGCCAAUGGCACUGCCCGGUAGCUAAAUGCGGAAGAGAUAAGUGCUGAAAGCAUCUAAGCACGAAACUUGCCCCGAGAUGAGUUCUCCCUGAGACUUUAAGUCUCCUGAAGGAACGUUGAAGACUACGACGUUGAUAGGUCGGGUGUGUAAGCGCAGCGAUGCGUUGAGCUAACCGAUACUAAUGAACCGUGAGGCUUAACCUU